rnacentral:lncRNA from 1 species
CACGCACACAAACAAACAAAGCACAGGCAAACAUGGAGCCCGACUGCCAAUCACUGGACUUAUGUCAGCAUCCGAACCUAAACACACACAAGGAGGCAAACAUGGAGCCUGAAUGUCAAUUGCUGGACUUACAUCAGCAUCCGAACCUAAAACACACGCACACUGGAACCCAAAUGCCACUCGAUGGACUUACAUCAGCUUCCAAGCACACAACAACACAAUAAGUUAAUAGGGAGUCAGGGACUCAGCCUAUAACUGUCAAGCACACACUCAAACAGACAGACAACAAAUUGCUAAGGAGUCAAGCACUCGAGCCUAGCAACUGUCAAACAACACACACAAAAGAAAA